rnacentral:tRNA from 2 species
UGCUGUCGUAGCUCAGUAGGUAGAGCGCGUGGCUGUUAACCACGUGGUCGCAGGUUCGAGUCCCGCCGACAGCGU